rnacentral:pre_miRNA from 15 species
CCCAUUUUAUAAAUGCAAAGCACUUACAACUGUUUGCAGAGGAAACUGAGACUUUAUAACCAUGCCUCAGUCUCAUCUGCAAAGAAGUAAGUGCUUUGCCAAUCCCUCAAAAGGGUA